rnacentral:rRNA from 1 species
UACAGAGGUCUCAAGCGUUGUUCGGAUUCAUUGGGCGUAAAGGGUGCGUAGGUGGCGCCGUAAGUCGGGGUGUGAAAUUUCGAGGCUUAACCUCGAAACUGCAUUCGAUACUGCGGUGCUUGAGGACUGGAGAGGAGACUGGAAUUCAUGGUGUAGCAGUGAAAUGCGUAGAGAUCAUGAGGAAGACCAGUGGCGAAGGCGGGUCUCUGGACAGUUCCUGACACUGAGACACGAAGGCCAGGGGAGCAAACGGGG